UACGGAGGAUGCAAGCGUUAUCCGGAUUCAUUGGGUUUAAAGGGUGCGCAGGCGGGCUUGUAAGUCAGUGGUGAAAUUCUGCAGCUUAACUGUAGAACUGCCAUUGAUACUGCAAGUCUUGAAUAUGGUUGAGGUAGGCGGAAUGUGUUGUGUAGCGGUGAAAUGCAUAGAUAUGACACAGAACGCCGAUUGCGAAGGCAGCUUACUAAGCCAUGAUUGACGCUGAGGCACGAAAGCGUGGGGAGCGAACAGG
rnacentral:rRNA from 1 species